AUUGAACGCUGGCGGCAUGCUUUACACAUGCAAGUCGAACGGCAGCACGGGCUUCGGCCUGGUGGCGAGUGGCGAACGGGUGAGUAAUAUAUCGGAACGUACCCAAGAGUGGGGGAUAACGUAGCGAAAGUUACGCUAAUACCGCAUACGAUCUAAGGAUGAAAGUGGGGGAUCGCAAGACCUCAUGCUCCUGGAGCGGCCGAUAUCUGAUUAGCUAGUUGGUGAAGUAAAGGCUCACCAAGGCGACGAUCAGUAGCUGGUCUGAGAGGACGACCAGCCAAACUGGAACUGAGACACGGUCCAGACUCCUACGGGAGGCAGCAGUGGGGAAUUUUGGACAAUGGGCGCAAGCCUGAUCCAGCAAUGCCGCGUGAGUGAAGAAGGCCUUCGGGUUGUAAAGCUCUUUUGUCAGGGAAGAAACGGUAGGGGCUAAUAUCCUUUGCUAAUGACGGUACCUGAAGAAUAAGCACCGGCUAACUACGUGCCAGCAGCCGCCGCUGUAA
rnacentral:rRNA from 1 species